AUUGAACGCUGGCGGCAUGCUUUACACAUGCAAGUCGAACGGUAACAGGCCGCAAGGUGCUGACGAGUGGCGAACGGGUGAGUAAUGCAUCGGAACGUGCCCAGUCGUGGGGGAUAACUACUCGAAAGAGUAGCUAAUACCGCAUACGAUCUAUGGAUGAAAGCGGGGGACCGUAAGGCCUCGCGCGAUUGGAGCGGCCGAUGUCAGAUUAGGUAGUUGGUGGGGUAAAGGCUCACCAAGCCAACGAUCUGUAGCUGGUCUGAGAGGACGACCAGCCACACUGGGACUGAGACACGGCCCAGACUCCUACGGGAGGCAGCAGUGGGGAAUUUUGGACAAUGGGCGCAAGCCUGAUCCAGCAAUGCCGCGUGCAGGAAGAAGGCCUUCGGGUUGUAAACUGCUUUUGUACGGAACAAAACGGCUCUGGUUAAUACCCGGGGCUAAUGACGGUACCGUAAGAAUAAGCACCGGCUAACUACGUG
rnacentral:rRNA from 1 species